rnacentral:pre_miRNA from 1 species
AUUCUACUCCCUCCGUUGCACAAUACUACAUGCCUUCUAUUUGUCAAAAUAUAUGUGUAUCUAGACAUGUCUUAGUAUAUAGGUACAUCCAUUUUUGGACAAAUGGAAGUCAAGUAUUUUGGAACGGAGGGAGUACACA